rnacentral:lncRNA from 1 species
UAGAUAGGUAGGUAGAAUUCUGAACUAACAACAUCUGGCCCUCACUUUUUUGUUUGUUUGUAUUGUUUUGUUUUGUUAAUGAAUGCUUUUAUUUCUAAUGGGUUAUGGAAUAGCUUACCUGAUCUUCAUUUAACUUUGGUAUGUGGUAUCUGUCUAUAAAAUUAUCCAUUUUGUCUAUGUUUUCCAGUUUUUUUGUGUAUAUGCAUUUGUAGUAAGAUCUGAUAACUUAGUGAAUUUCCUCAAUUUUAUGUCUUCCUUUUCAUCUCUGAUUCUAUUGAUUUGGAUACUGGCUGUGUGUCUUUUAGUUUGACUAAGCAUUUGUCUAUCAUGUUGAUUUUCUCAAAGAACCAGCUCUUGGUUUUCAUGAUUCCUUGUAUUGUUCUCUUUGUUCUAAUUGGCUGAUUUAGGCCUUGAGUUUACCUCUUUCCGGCCAUCAACUCCUCUUGGGUGUGUUUGUUUCUUUUUGUUCUAGAGUUUUCAGGUGUGCUGUUAUGUUGCUAAUAUAUUUCCAAUUUCUUUAUGAAGGCACUUAAUGCUAUGAAUUCUGCUAAAUAUUUUUCAUAUUAAUACUGCUUUCCCAAAGUAACUCUGUGUCCCAUGGGAAUAGGUAUACUGUGUCUUCAUUUUCAUUAAAUUCUAGAAAGACUUCAAAUUUUUAGUGUAUUUCUUCUCUAAGUUAUCAUUGUGUAAACAGUUGCUCAGUUUCCUUGAGUAUGUGUGAUUUCUGUUGUUUCUGUUGUUGUGGAAAUCCAACCUUGUUCUGUGGUAGUUUGAUAGAAUGCAUGGUUUGUUUCAAUAUUCUUGUAUCUGUUGCGGCUUGUUCUGUGUCCAGAUGUAUGGUCAGUUUUGGAGAAGGUUAUAUGAGGUGCUGAGAGGAAGGUAUAUUUUGUUUUGGCGUGAAAUGUUCUGUAGUUAUCUGAUAAAUACAUUUGGUUCCUAACUUUUGUUAGUUUAAUUGUAUCUAUGUUUAGUUUCUGUUUUGAUGAACUGUCCAUUGAUGUGAGGUGAGGUGUUGAAGUCUCCUAUGAUUAUUAUGUGGGACUCAGUAUUUGUUUUGAGCUUUAGUAAGGUUUUAUGAAUGUGGUACCCUUGCAUUUGUGGCAACAAUGUUCAGAAUUGAAACUUCCUUCUGGUAGAUUUUUCUUUUGAUGAGUAUGAAGUGUCCUUCCCCAUCUCUUUUGAUUCCUUUUGUUUGAAAGUUGAUUUUAUUGCCACUCUAGCUUGGUUCAGGGACUGUUUGCUAGGAAAACUUUUCCCCAGCCCUAUACUUUGAGGUAGUGUCUAUCCUUGUUGCUAAAGUGUGUUUCUUAUAGGCAGGAGAGGGAUGGAUCCUGUUUACAUAUCCUUCUGUUAGCCUAUUUCAUUUUAUUGAGAAAUUGAGAUUUUUGGUAUUAAGAGAUAUUAUUGACCAAUGGUUGUUAGUUCUUGUUAUUUAGUUCUUGGAAAUGGUUCUCUCUCUCUCUCUCUUUCUCUCUCUCUCUCUCUCUCUGUGUGUGUGUGUGUGUGUGCACGCGCAUGUGUGUGUGUCUGUACAAAUGGAAUAGUAGAAAGAUAUUAUUAAGUUUAGUUUUGUCAUGAGUAUAUUGGUUUCUCCAUCUAUUGUGAUUGAAUAUUUGCUGGGUAUAGUUGUCUGGUCUGGCUUCUGUGGUCUUUUAGGACCUGUAAGAUAUCUGUCUGAGAUCUUCUGGAUUUUAGAGUAUCUGUUGAGAAGUCAUGUGUCAUUCUGAUAGGUCUGAUAAUUUACCCUAGUCCCUUAAAAUUUUUAAUGUGCUUUCAUUCUUUUGUACAUUUGAUGUUUUUCAUUUUUGUGGGGUAAGAAGAUUUUAUUUUCUGGUCCAAUUGAUUUGGUGUUCUGUAGGCUUCGUUUAUGUUUAUGACCAUCUCUUUCUUUAGAUUAGGAAAGUUUUCUUCUAUAAUUUUGCUGAAGAUGUUUUCUGGCUGUUUGAACUGGGAAUGUUCUUCCUCUUCUAUUUCUAUUAUAUUAGGUUUGUAUUUUUUCAUUUUGCCCUAAAUUUUCUGGAUGUUUUGAGUUAGGAACUUUUUCCGUUUGUCAGUUUCUUUGAUUGGUGUAUCAAUAUCUCCUAUGGUAUCGUCUAUACUAGAUAUUCGUUCUUCCAUCUCUUUUAUUUGGCUGGUGGUCCUUGUGUCUGUAGUAUCUGUUGUCUUUCUUAGGUUUUGCAUCCCCAGGGAUGCCUCCAUGUGUGAUUUUUUUCACUUUUUAAAAAAGAUUUUAUUUAUUUUAUAUAUGUGAGUACACUAUAUCUAUACAGAUGAUUGUGAGCCAUCAUGUGGUUGCUGGGAAUUGGAAUUAGGGCUUCUGCUCACUCUGGCCCUGCUUGCUCCAACCUGGCUUGAUCUGGCCCCACCCCUCUUUCUCUUUCUUUAAAUUUUCUAUUUCCAUUUUUAUGUCUUGGACUCUUUUGUUCAUUUCCGUCACCUAUUUGAUUGUAUUUUCCUGUAUUUCUUUAAGAUAUUUAUUUCUUUCCUCUUUAAGGACUUCUACCUGUUUGACUGUAUUUUUCUUUCUCUCCUUUUUCUUUUUCUUUUUUUUUUAUGCAGUGGGUGCAGUGAACUUUAUUGAUGGUAUUCAAGAUGGUAGGGCUCCCUAAGCCUUUCCUGUUAUUAUGGGGGUCUGGGAUGUUAACUGGGAUGGAGAUGCUCAGUGUUGGAGACCGAGUAGGACAGGGACUCCUCAGCAACUGAGAGCCUCUCACUUGCUCUCAAUGUCCUUGCUUGGGUGAAUAGUUUCUUACUAUUUCUUACUCCUAGGAGGCCAUGUAGCCCUUGAGGUCCUCCACCCUGUUGCUAUAGCCAUAUUCAUUGUCAUUCUAGGAACUGAGUUUAACAAAGUUGUCAUUGAGAGCAAUGCCAGCCCCAGAAUCAAAGGUGAAUGAGUGGGAGUUACUGUUGAAGUCACAGGAGACAAGUUGGUCCUUAGUGUAGCCCAGGAUGCCCUUCAGUGGGCCAUCAGAUGCCUGCAUCACUAACUUCUUUAUGCCAUAAUAUAUGGCAGGUUUCUCCAGGUGGCAUGUCAAAUCCACACUGGAUAUGUUAGGAAUAGUAACACAGAUGGCCAUACCAACUCUGGAAUUAACUUGCCCACAGCCUUGCCAGCACCAGUUGAUGCAGGGAUGAAGUUCUGGGCAGCCCCAUAGCCAUUACACCACCCCUUUCCAGAGGGGCCAUCCAUAGUCUUCUGAAUUGCAGUGAUGGCAUAGACCAUGGUCAUGAGCCCUUCCACUAUGCCAAAGUUGUCAUGGAUGACCUGGCCAAGGGGUCUAAGUAGUUGGUAGUACAGGAUGGAUUGCUGACAAUCUUGAGGGAGUUGUCAUAUUUCUUGUAGUUCAUAGCCAUCACAAACAUGGAGGCAUCGGCAGAAAGGGUGAAGAUGAUGACCCUUUUGAUCCCACCCUUAAAGUGAGCUCUGGCCUUUUCCAUGGUGGUGAAGACACCCGUAGACUCCACAACAUAGUCAGCACCAGCACCACCCAUUUGCUAUUAGUGGGAUCUCACUCCUGGAAGAUGAUGUUGGCCUUCCCAUUGAUGACAAGCUUGCCAUUCUCAGCCUUGACUGUGUCAUUGAACUUGCCAUGGGUCAUACUGUAAUAUGUAGACAAUUUAGUUGAGGUUAAUGAAGGUGUCAUUGAUGGCAACAGUCUCCACUUUGUAGCUGCAGAACAGAAGGCAGCCCUGAUAACCAGGUGCCCAAUAUGGCCAAAUCCAUUAACACAGAAUGUCAUCAUCACGUCUACAGAAUCAAGCUGGUCCUCAUGGGAAGAUGCAGCUGUCUCUGAAACAGGGAGGAGCAGAGAACCUUCUUUUAUUUUUUUUUAAGGGAAUUACUUAUAUCCUCUUUAAGGGCCUCCCUCUAUCAUCUUCAUGAGAUGGAAUUUAAGGUGUGUUAGGGUAUCCAGGGAUUGCUGUAAUAGGAGAACUGGGUCCUGAUGGUGCCAAAUUGCAAUGCCUCCUGUGAGUUAUGUUCUUCUGCUUUUCAUUUGCCAUCUGGUUGUUUGGUGUUAACUGGUCUGGGUGUCCAGGAUUGGGGCAGGCCUCACUGGAACCAGGGUGAACUGUGUGUCCCAGGUUAGAGCAGGCCUCCUGUGAGGCAGGCAGUGCUCUGUCUCUGGUUACACCAGGCCUACUGUCCUACCUCUGGGAUCAAAACUUCUAGGCCAGCAGAAGUUUGGGGUGUGGGAACAGGAAGUAAAAACGUUGCUAGUGGGUCACUAGGCAUGAUAGUAAGUGGACCUGUUCCCUUUCUACCCCUUGAUUCCUGGACCCAUGAUUCCCAGCUAUGGGAGACACUGUACCAUGUACGGAAUACUGAUUCAAAGCAUAUACUGCUUUCUGGAGAACCCUGUUUUAGCCAUUCAUGCUCCUGCCACCUAUUUGGUGCUAUCACUGUGUCUUCAAAAGGACAUUCCAUUUCUCUGUCAUGUCAUCUCACUUCAGGAUGGUGGUGUACAAGGUAAGACCAGUGGAUUCCAUGAUCAUGGGGCCCUGCUGUGGCAAUUCUUUGGGUGUGAAAUGUGUUUCUUGGUCAGAAGACAUACUGUGUAGAAUACCAUGACAAUGGAUAAGUCACUUUAUAAGGUCAUAAAUUGUAGUUUGGCCAGAAGGAUCAUGUAUAGGAAAGGCAAAUGCAUAACCAGAAUAAGUAUCUACUCCAGUAAGAACAAAAUGUCUUUUUUUCCCAUGGAAGAAGCUCUCCAAUGUAUUGCUGGCUGGUCACUUCAGUGAAUGGUGCUACAUCUGGGGCUCAGUUUUGGUCUCUGGUGAUGGCAGAUGUGGCAUCCAGCAGCAGCUGUAGCCAGGUCAGCCUUGCUAGAGAAAGCACCCAAGGAGGUGAAAGAGUCUGCAACCCUAGGUGGAACAACAAUAUGAACUAACCAAUACCCCCGGAGCUUGUGUCUCUAGCUGCAUAUGUAGCAGAAGAUGGACUAGUUGGCAGUCACUAGGAAGAGAGGCCCCUUUAUCUGCCCCAGUACCGGGGAAUGCCAGGGCCAAGAAAUGGGAGUGGGUGGGUAGGGGAGCAGGGCAUGGGGAGGGUAUAGGGGAGUUUCAG